GACGAACGCUGGCGGCGUGCCUAAUACAUGCAAGUUGAGCGCUGAAGGUUGGUACUUGUACCAACUGGAUGAGCAGCGAACGGGUGAGUAACGCGUGGGGAAUCUGCCUUUGAGCGGGGGACAACAUUUGGAAACGAAUGCUAAUACCGCAUAAAAACUUUAAACACAAGUUUUAAGUUUGAAAGAUGCAAUUGCAUCACUCAAAGAUGAUCCCGCGUUGUAUUAGCUAGUUGGUGAGGUAAAGGCUCACCAAGGCGAUGAUACAUAGCCGACCUGAGAGGGUGAGCGGCCACAUUGGGACUGAGACACGGCCCAAACUCCUACGGGAGGCAGCAGUAGGGAAUCUUCGGCAAUGGACGAAAGGCUGAACGAGCAACGCCGCGUGAGUGAAGAAGGGUGUCGGAUCGUAAAAAUCUGUUGGUAGAGAAGAACGUUGGUGAGAGUGGAAAGCGCAUAAAGUGACGGUAACUACCCAGAAAGGGACGGCUAACUACGUG
rnacentral:rRNA from 1 species